AUUGAACGCUGGCGGCAGGCCUAACACAUGCAAGUCGAGCGGAUGAAGGGAGCUUGCUCCUGGAUUCAGCGGCGGACGGGUGAGUAAUGCCUAGGAAUCUGCCUGGUAGUGGGGGGUAACGUCCGGAAACGGGCGCUAAUACCGCAUACGUCCUGAGGGAGAAAGUGGGGGAUCUUCGGACCUCACGCUAUCAGAUGAGCCUAGGUCGGAUUAGCUAGUUGGUGGGGUAAAGGCCUACCAAGGCGACGAUCCGUAACUGGUCUGAGAGGAUGAUCAGUCACACUGGAACUGAGACACGGUCCAGACUCCUACGGGAGGCAGCAGUGGGGAAUAUUGGACAAUGGGCGAAAGCCUGAUCCAGCCAUGCCGCGUGUGUGAAGAAGGUCUUCGGAUUGUAAAGCACUUUAAGUUGGGAGGAAGGGCAGUAAGUUAAUACCUUGCUGUUUUGACGUUACCAACAGAAUAAGCACCGGUUAACUUCGUG
rnacentral:rRNA from 1 species